rnacentral:rRNA from 1 species
GCUGGCGGCAUGCCUUACACAUGCAAGUCGAACGGUAACAGGUCUUCGGAUGCUGACGAGUGGCGAACGGGUGAGUAAUACAUCGGAACGUGCCCGAUCGUGGGGGAUAACGAAGCGAAAGCUUUGCUAAUACCGCAUACGAUCUACGGAUGAAAGCAGGGGACCGCAAGGCCUUGCGCGAACGGAGCGGCCGAUGGCAGAUUAGGUAGUUGGUGGGAUAAAAGCUUACCAAGCCGACGAUCUGUAGCUGGUCUGAGAGGACGACCAGCCACACUGGGACUGAGACACGGCCCAGACUCCUACGGGAGGCAGCAGUGGGGAAUUUUGGACAAUGGGCGAAAGCCUGAUCCAGCCAUGCCGCGUGCAGGAUGAAGGCCUUCGGGUUGUAAACUGCUUUUGUACGGAACGAAAAGACUCUGGUUAAUACCUGGGGUCCAUGACGGUACCGUAAGAAUAAGCACCGGCUAACUACGUGCCAGCAGCCGCGGUAAUACGUAGGGUGCAAGCGUUAAUCGGAAUUACUGGGCGUAAAGCGCGCGCAGGCGGUUAUAUAAGACAGAUGUGAAAUCCCCGGGCUCAACCUGGGAACUGCAUUUGUGACUGUAUAGCUAGAGUACGGCAGAGGGGGAUGGAAUUCCGCGUGUAGCAGUGAAAUGCGUAGAUAUGCGGAGGAACACCGAUGGCGAAGGCAAUCCCCUGGGCCUGUACUGACGCUCAUGCACGAAAGCGUGGGGAGC